AGAAAGAAAGAAAGAAAGAAAGAAAGAAAGAAAGAAAGAAAAUAAUUCCUCUUCCAAUAUUGGGCAAUUACAGAACUUUCCAACCAAAAUCUUUGCUCACAGGAAUAUAUAUUUCUAUAUCAUUGAUAUAGAAAUCUAUAUCAAAUCUAUAUCAUUUGAUAUAGAAUAUAUAUGUAAUAUUUCUAUAUCAAAUACAUAGUGGAGGAUAUUCUUUUAGAAAAUAUUCAAUAUAUACAGGUAUAAUUUUAUUUUUUACUUUUUUUAAAAAAUAUUCCUUUAACCAAUGAAGGGGCAAGCCCCAGGAGUCAGGACGAGUCCUAAUGCUGUGACCCAGUCACACCGCAGUCCUUCCCAUGUCCCGCCGGCCCACUCCUUGUUGACCUGCACUGUUUGUCAUGCUCUUGUCCUUGUUGGUGUCUAGUGUUUGGGGGAAUGAGUGUAGUUCCUGUUCUGUUAUUUUCAUAAAUGGAAAUUGGCCUAUGCCAGGAGAGUGAAUCCCAGACGUGAUGCAUUGUCCAUGGGCUUCUCUGUGAAGGAAAACCUUUCUUGGCCAGGACUUGCGGUAGGUGACCUAUUUCAUCUUCCUCGGGCUACCGUCAUGGUGAUGGUGAAGGGAGUGGACAAACUGGCUCUUCCAUCAGGCAGUGUCAUUUCAUACCUUUUGGAGAAUGCAGCUCCUUUUGGUCUUGACAAUGUUGCAAAUUCCAUUCACUCUUUAUUUCCUGAGGAAAUUCCUGUUGUUUUGCAGUUGGUUUUUAGUGAGGAAAGUGUGUAUUUGGUAGGGAAGGCAAACUCAGUGUUUGAAGACCUUUCAGUCACCUUAGGACAACUCCAUUAUCACUUGUUUCAGGAAAACUCCAUUCUCAGUUCACUUCCCCUGAAUUCUCUGAGUAAGAACAAUGGAGUUGACCUGCUCUUUCUUUCUGAACUCCAAGUGCUCCAUGAUAUUUCAAGUUUGGUGUCUUGUCAUAAGCAUCUAGCCAAGGAUCAUUCUGAUUUAUAUUCACUGGAACUGGCAUGUUUGGAUGAAACUGGGAAGCAUUACGGGGAAGACUCUGAACAAUUCAGAGUCGCUUCUAAUAUCCUUGUUGACAUUCUUCAAAAGUUUGCAGGUGACAUGUACAAUAUUUAUGGUGGGAAUGCAGUGGUAGAGUUAGUCACUGUUAAGUCAUUUGACACCUCCCUCGUGAGGAAGACAGGGACUAUCUUUGAGGCAAAACAAAUGAAGAACCCAGCAAGUGCCUGUAACCUUGCAUAUAAUUUUGAAUAUUCAGUGAUUUUCAACAUUAUACUUUGAAUAAUGAUUGCCUUGACCCUGGCUGUGGUUAUCACCUCUUAGAAUAUUUGGAACAUGGAUUCUGGAUAUGAUAGCAUCAUUUAGAGGAUUACAAACCAGAAUAUUUGAAUAGAUUGAAUAUUCAUUAUUGAAUUAGAAAAGGGGGUUGGAAAUUGGCUGUUUUUUCAAAUAGAUCUUACAUUGUGAUUUAAAGUAGAUAGUAUACUUUAAAUUUAUUAAAAACUCACAUUUUUUCUCUAUUUGGUGUGUGCCUGUGGUUUUUUUAUAGGGUGAAUUAUAGUAUUGAUGUCAAUCAAACUGUAUGG